rnacentral:rRNA from 1 species
GACGGAGGGUGCAAGCAUUGUUCGGAAUUACUGGGCGUAAAGGGCGCGUAGGCGGUCCGCUAAGUUCGGUGUGAAAGCCCCUGGCUCGACUGGGGAACGGCGCUGGAAACUGGUGGACUCGAGUACCGGAGAGGAGAGUGGAAUUCCUGGUGUAGCGGUGAAAUGCGUAGAUAUCAGGAGGAACACCGGUGGCGAAGGCGGCUCUCUGGACGGAUACUGACGCUGAGGCGCGAAAGCGUGGGGAUCAAACAGG